rnacentral:rRNA from 1 species
GAGUUUGAUCUUGGCUCAGAACGAACGCUGGCGGCAUGCCUAACACAUGCAAGUCGGAACGGGAUCCAUCUUUCGGGAUGGUGAGAGUGGCGGACGGGUGAGUAACGCGUGGGAAACCUGGCCCACGUGGUAGGGGGAUAACUGCGGGAAACUACAGCUAAAUACCGCAUGAGCCCGAGAGGGGAAAGAUUUAUCGCCAUUGGAGGGGCCCGCGUUCGAUUAGGUAGUUGGUGGGGUAAUGGGCCUACCAAGCCGAACGAUCGAUAGCUGGUCUGAGAGGAUGAUCAGCCACAACUGGGACUGAGAUACGGCCCAGACUCCUACGGGAGGCAGCAGUGGGGAAUAUUGGGACAAUGGGGACAACCCUGAUCCAGCAAUGCCGCGUGAGUGAUGAAGGCCUGGUGUAA